CCAUUUACCGAAAGCAGUCUCCUAUGGUUCAACUUCUCGUUCAUUCUCACCCGGCCUGAAUUCGGCAUCUAUAAAAUGGGGGUGAUCCUGUCUCACAGGGUCAUUGGAAGGAGAGUUUUCUACUGGGUCUCCGGAACAAGCUUCGCUCAACCAAAACAGGCUGCCUUUCACGGUCCUACACAGCCAGGCAUGGAACAGGCAGCCACUGUGUUCCUGAAAUGAGACCAGCAUCUGCCUUUGAUCUGGGGUCUACGCACAGCAUGGACAAGGCAUGGCUAAGAUGUCUAAACCCAGACAUCCCAGGAGAUUAAGGAAAGAAGAUCAGAAGUUCCAGGCCUGUCUGGGCUACAGAGCAAGUUCAAGACCAGUCUGGGAAACAUAUUGAUAAUUAUGUCUCAAAUAAACACUAGGAAGAGGGCUGAGGUGAACAACUGGGCCCUCCAGGUGGCCUUGGUGGCCCUUGGUGACAGUAAGAGAAACCACUUUGAAAGGUGAAGACAGGAAGUGAGGCAUGAUGCCAGGGUCACCACGUGGUUGACUGCCAUCUUGUGGGAGUGCAGGAGGACUGGAAGAAAGAGGACCCUCAGCUUGGGGUGUGAGGACGGACGUGGCCAGGGGUCACCUGUCUCUGCAUCUUGGGCCAUUCAGAGCUCCGGGCCAGGUCAUUGUGAAGAGCUCCACUUCUCUGUAGGCCAUUAUGGUGAAAAGGAGUUUAGCAGACAAGGGCUCAGGACACGCCCCUUCUGUGCCCAGGCAGAGUGUGAUGUCAUCAGCAAAGCCAGCAUGUAUGUUGGGGUCAGAGGACAGGGUGUCAACUCUCACCUCUUCACCUUGUUUGAGACCGUCUCUCUGCCGGUGUGUGUGCUAGGCUACUGAGGAUUGCCCUGUGUCUGAUUCCGGUUCCCCAGUAGGGAUUACAUAUGUCUGCACGGUUGCAUCUACCGUGGGCUUUGGGGGUCUGAACUCCAGCUGUCAGGCUUACAUGUCAAUCACUUUGUCUCCUGAACCAUCUCCCCAGCCCCAUACUCCUCACCCUUGCUUUGAUGGUCAUCAAGCCCUUGGUAGUGGUCACCUGACUCUAAGUCCUAGUCUCUUUGCAGUAGGGUUCUCCCUUCCGUUGAAUGCACUGCGUGGAUUUUCCCUGUUUUCCCGCGGUUGGACUCCAGGGCCUUGUGCAUAAGAGGCAAGCACUCCAACUCCGAGACACUGCCCUCGAUGGCUGGCUCUGAAUCAGAUCGAUAACCAAAUACAGGCAUCCCCAUCUCUAAAAACCUUCUGAGAUUGCAUCGGAGAGAAUGGAAGGCGCCUCCGCCUCCGUAGUUUAAACAGAAGGAGUUUUGCCUAGCAAAGGAGCAUUAGCAGCCCUCAAACCUUCGAGACGGGAGAAGCAGGCUGUGAGCUGAGCCUUAGGGAAAACCUCCAGUCCCCAGAAUCCUUCUGGGUCCCCUCCACCGUUACCAAGGAAACCAACAAAUUGGGAAGCUCCUUAAGCAUACCAAGCCAGUAAAAAGAGAAGCGCGCACCCCAUUUCUCUUCCUAUUUAAACUCUUUCCAAGCCCAGUCCUGUUCGUGUGACUCUGGUUGGGGAAGACUGAAUCGCAUCUGAAAGUCUUCCUUGCAAGAGGGUUAUAGGGAAAUUGGUUUUCUUUUCCUGGCUUCUUGGUAUAAAAAGGCACGCGUGAAGGAGGUUGGAAUAAAUGUUGGACGAGGGACUUGAAGCUUGAGAAUCUGACUCUGCUGGCUGACCAGCAAGCCCCUGCCUCAGUAUCCCCAGCACCAGGACUAUAGGCAUGCACUGUAGGGCGCAGCUUUUGUGCAUGUCCUGAAGAUGGGAACUCAGAGCCUCCUAGUUGCAAGGGAAGUACUUCACCGACAGAACCAGCUCCAGGCUGUUUCAUUCUGUGUUGAGACUGUGUUAACUUGGACACCCAAACUAGACAAGGCCAGUGAAAGAUGCUGAUUUAAUUUAAGCUCAUACUUCUACGUGG
rnacentral:lncRNA from 1 species